AGUGAACGCUGGCGGCAUGCCUAACACAUGCAAGUCGAACGGCAGCACAGCAGUAGCAAUACUGUGGGUGGCGAGUGGCGGACGGGUGAGGAACACAUCGGAAUUUGCCCAGUCGUGGGGGAUAACGUAGGGAAACUUACGCUAAUACCGCAUACGACCUAACGGUGAAAGCGGGGGAUCGCAAGACCUCGCGCGGAUGGAUAAGCCGAUGUCGGAUUAGCUAGUUGGCGGGGUAAAGGCCCACCAAGGCGACGAUCCGUAGCUGGUCUGAGAGGAUGAUCAGCCACACUGGGACUGAGACACGGCCCAGACUCCUACGGGAGGCAGCAGUGGGGAAUAUUGGACAAUGGGGGCAACCCUGAUCCAGCAAUGCCGCGUAUGUGAAGAAGGCCUUCGGGUUGUAAAGCACUUUUAUCGGGAACGAAACAUUGUCGGUGAAUAUCCGGCAAGACUGACGGUACCCGAGGAAUAAGCACCGGCUAACUUCGUG
rnacentral:rRNA from 1 species